CCCUUAGAUGUUCUGGGCCGCAUGCGCGCUACACUGAUGCAUUCAACGAGCCUAUCCUUGACCGACAGGUCCGGGUAAUCUUUGAAUCUGCAUCGUGACGGGGAUAGAUUAUUGCAAUUAUUAAUCUUCAACGAGGAAUGCCUAGUAGGCGCAAGUCAUCAGCUUGCGUCGAUUACGUCCCUGCCCUUUGUACACACCGCCCGUCGCUCCUACCGAUUGGGUGUGCUGGUGAAAUGUUCGGAUCGGCCGUUUGUCGCGGUUUCCGCGUCAUGUGGCUGAGAAGUUCAUUAAACCCUCCCACCUAGAGGAAGGAGAAGUCGUAACA
rnacentral:rRNA from 1 species